UGAGUAACCUGCCCUUGACUCUGGGAUAAGCCUGGGAAACUGGGUCUAAUACCGGAUAUGACUCCUCAUCGCAUGGUGGGGGGUGGAAAGCUUUUUGUGGUUUUGGAUGGACUCGCGGCCUAUCAGCUUGUUGGUGGGGUGAUGGCCUACCAAGGCGACGACGGGUAGCCGGCCUGAGAGGGCGACCGGCCACACUGGGACUGAGAUACGGCCCAGACUCCUACGGGAGGCAG
rnacentral:rRNA from 1 species